GUAAAUAGUUCAGGGGCCUGCUCUGCAUCAGCAUAGCCUCUAAUCUUUGCGAUAACGUGCAAUCCUAGUUCAAGAGCCUUCUCUCCACUCACUAAUACUAAUGCAGCAGCACCAUCACUGAUGCUAGAAGCAUUGCCAGCUGUAACAGUUCCACCACUCUCUUUAAAACUUGGGCGGAGUUUCUUCAGUUUUACAGGAUCGAACUUCUCUAAGCCUUCAUCCCUCUCGACAAUGAUAGAUGGUCUUCCUCUGCCUGCAGAAACUUCAACCGGAACUAUUUCCCAUGAAAAGGCACCGCUGUCUCGAGCAGCAAUUCCACGCUCAUUGCUUUGUAUGGCAUAUGAGUCCUGCUCUUCCCUUGUUAUUGAAUGAUUUUCUGAACAUAACUCGGCACACACUCCCAUGCCAUAAUCAUUAUAAACAUCCCACAAACCAUCUUUCAGCAUACCAUCAACAAUUGUAUCAUGCCCAAAUCGAGAUCCUUUUCUUGCUUCUGCUAGAUAUUUAGGGGCAUUUGACAUGCUUUCCAUGCCACCAGCAACAACAACAUCAUGAAUGCCCAACUGAAUACUCUGUGCUGCGAUCAUUGUAGCCUUCAUCCCAGAAGCACAAACUUUGUUGAUUGUGGUGCAGAUCGCUGAAUUCGGGAUUCCAGCACCUAAUGCAGCCUGUCGCGCUGGAGCCUGCCCCAAAUUAGCACUCAAAACAUUACCAAAAUAGACCUCUUGUACAAGUGCUGCAUCAACAUUAGCCCUCUUAAGAGCACAUCUGAUAGCAAUAGAACCAAGUUUGGUGGCAGACAAAGAAGAUAGUGAACCAAGCAAGCCGCCCAUUGGUGUGCGUGCAACGCCAACAAUAC
rnacentral:misc_RNA from 1 species